GAAAUGCGAUAAGUAGUACGAAUUGCAGAACUCCGCGAGUGAUCGAAUCUUUGAACGCACAUUGCGCCCUCUGGUAGCCCGGAGGGCACGCCUGUUCGAGCGUCAUUACACCCCUCAAGCCUGGCUUGGUCUUGGGCCACGCCCCCUCGGGGACGGGCCUCAAACCCCUGGGCGGUGCCGCCUCCCCUCCAGCGCGACAGGGAGACUCUCCACGCGCUGGCCGGGACGACGCCCGCCGCGACUGGCCCCUGCGGCCCCACGGUCUGACCUCGGAUCAGGCGGGAGUACCCGCUGAACUUAA
rnacentral:misc_RNA from 1 species